GAUGAAGAACGCAGCGAAAUGCGAUAAGUAGUGUGAAUUGCAGAAUUCAGUGAAUCAUCGAAUCUUUGAACGCACAUUGCGCCCCAUGGUAUUCCGUGGGGCAUGCCUGUUCGAGCGUCAUUUACCCCCUCAAGCUCCGCUUGGUGUUGGGCGUCUGUCCCGCUUCGCGCGCGGACUCGCCCCAAAGGUAUUGGCAGCGGUCGUGCCAGCUUCUCGCGCAGCACAUUGCGCUUCUCGAGGCACCGGUGGGCCCUCGUCCAUCAAGCUCACCCCCCCAGUUUGACCUCGGAUCAGGUAGGGAUACCCGCUGAACUUAAGCAUAUCAAUAAGCGGAGGA
rnacentral:misc_RNA from 1 species